GAUGAACGCUGGCGGCGUGCCUAAUACAUGCAAGUCGAGCGAACAGAUGAGGAGCUUGCUCCUCUGACGUUAGCGGCGGACGGGUGAGUAACACGUGGAUAACCUACCUAUAAGACUGGGAUAACUUCGGGAAACCGGAGCUAAUACCGGAUAAUAUAUUGAACCGCAUGGUUCAAUAGUGAAAGACGGUUUUGCUGUCACUUCUAGAUGGAUCCGCGCCGCAUUAGCUAGUUGGUAAGGUAACGGCUUACCAAGGCAACGAUGCGUGGCCGACCUGAGAGGGGGAUCGGCCACACUGGAACUGAGACACGGUCCAGACUCCUACGGGAGGCAGCAGUAGGGAACCUGCCGCAAUGGGCGAAAGCCUGACGGAGCAAGGCCGCGUGAGUGAUGAAGGUCUUCGGAUCGUAAAACCCUGUUAUUAGGGAAGAACAAAUGUGUAAGUAACUGUGCACGUCUUGACGGUACCUAAUCAGAAAGCCACGGCUAACUACGUG
rnacentral:rRNA from 1 species